UACAGAGGGUGCAAGCGUUAAUCGGAAUUACUGGGCGUAAAGCGUGCGUAGACGGUUACAUAAGUCGGGUGUGAAAUUUCGGAGCUUAACUCCGAAACUGCAUUCGAUACUGGCGUGCUUGAGGACUGGAGAGGAGACUGGAAUUUACGGUGUAGCAGUGAAAUGCGUAGAUAUCGUAAGGAAGACCAGUGGCGAAGGCGGGUCUCUGGACAGUUCCUGACACUGAGACACGAAGGCCAGGGGAGCAAACGGG
rnacentral:rRNA from 1 species